CUCUGUGUGUUUUCUUUUUUAAACAGAGUAAAAAAUAGAGCCCUGUGCUCUCAGAUAGAAAGUUUCUUUUAUAACCUCUCUUAACACAUCUGUGUUUGUUCUCUGGGGGGCAUGAACUUUCAGCUCCUUGAGGACAAACGCCUGACCUAUUCUUUAUCUGGCACUCACUCAUGCGCCUCUUCUCUUUUUAACCCUGCCCUCACUGCUGAACUUGGCACUUUUGGUCGUCCAGGCUGUGUCGAAGGGAAUGAGUUCCCCUUUGCCCCAGUCCUGGCCGUAUCUAACUGCUCUCUUUCCUGUCCAAGCCUCGUCCACACCUUUGGUUGUUUGGAGGGUGGCUCCCAACAGGGAUUCAGUUGAUGCACUCUUGAAUUCUCUUGACUCGUUUCAUGCUCCUUUGUAACUGGCUUCUCUUGUGAUCUUCCAGAAUACCAGGCUGCUAUCCUACAUCUGAAGAGGGAGCACAAAGAAGAAAUCGAAACCCUGCAGGUAUAUCUCUUUGUUUCUACUGAACUGGCCUUCUGAUGGUGAUCUUUCCCUGGUGCCGAGUAUUUAACUAGAUAAUAUCUGCAGCUCCCAGCUGCCAAAGGGCACCAACAUCACUCUGGAAUGAAAGCCUUGGAUGUGGCACUUAAUAAACUCUAGUUUCUGACUUUAAACAGAAAAAUCACCAUAAAUGCCUUUGGAUUUGGCUAGAAGUAUAAUUCUGUGUUUCAAAUCAGGAAAGAAGACAGAGUAUUGAGGCUUCUACUGCUCCUGAGAAGUAUUUUAAAACUUGAUGGUGCUAUCCACCCUGUAAAUCAUUUCUGUUCCAUGCACUCCUCUGCGUGCCUCUUAGCCCCUCCCUGCUGUAAGAGAUCAUUCAGAUGAAGGGAUGAGUCAUUGUGUCCCCAGGGCGUGCUGACAGGUGCCAGCGGCCCCGCCUCUGUUUGCCGUCUAAUUAUCAGUGUCUAGGGUUAAUGUUUGCAUACAAGACAGAUAGCAGGAAGUUCAGAAUAUUAAUUUCAAGCUGCUGGAUGGUGAAUCAGACCUUGAGUCUAGUUUAUUAAUGGGCAGUAGCCCUGUGUAUUACCCCAGAAGGAGUAGCGGCAAAUUUGAACCUGCUCCCUCACGCUAACUCACUAUUUGCCACUUUCAUCAGCUUGUGGCUAAAAUAUCCCUCCUCUUAAGUUUUACUGACAAAUAGAAAUUAUAAUUCAGAGUACACGGCAUGUUUGGAAAUGGGAUGUAUUCUGGAGUGACAGUCGAAUAGGGUUUAUUUAUAAAUGUGCUAUUUU
rnacentral:lncRNA from 1 species